GCAUGGGCAAUUCAGUGGUAGAAUUCUUGCCUGUCACAUAGGAGGCCUGGGUUCGAUUCCCAGCCCAUGCA